rnacentral:rRNA from 1 species
GUGAGGAAUAUUGCGCAAUGGAGGCAACUCUGACGCAGCCAUGCCGCGUGCAGGAAGAAGGCGCUACGCGUUGUAAACUGCUUUUAACCGGGAAGAAACCCCAGGACGUGUCCUGGGUUGACGGUACCGGAGGAAUAAGCACCGGCUAACUUCGUGCCAGCAGCCGCGGUAAUACGAAGGGUGCAAGCGUUAUCCGGAUUCAUUGGGUUUAAAGGGUGCGUAGGCGGAGCGUUAAGUCAGUGGUGAAAUCCUGCAGCUUAACUGUAGACUUGCCAUUGAUACUGGCGCUCUUGAGUGCGCUUGAAGUGGGCGGAAUGUGCCGUGUAGCGGUGAAAUGCUUAGAUAUGGCACAGAACACCAACUGCGAAGGCAGCUCACUAAGGCGAUACUGACGCUGAGGCACGAAAGCGUGGGGAUCGAACAGGAUUAGAUACCCCAGUAGUCC